GCCAGGCCCUACGGGGUGCAGCAGGCGCGAAAACUUUACAAUGCUGGAAACAGCGAUAGGGGGACUUUGAGUGCCAGGAUACAAUUCUGGCUGUCGUGAUGCCUAAAAAGCAUUGCAUAGCAAGGGCCGGGCAAGACCGGUGCCAGCCGCCGCGGUAACACCGGCGGCUCGAGUGGUAACCGCUAUUAUUGGGUCUAAAGGGUCUGUAGCCGGCUGAAAAAGUCUCUUGGGAAAUCCGAUAGCUUAACUAUCGGGCUUCCAGGGGAUACUCUUCGGCUCGAGACCGGGAGAGGUGAGAGGUACUUCAUGGGUAGGGGUGAAAUCUUGUAAUCCUUGAAGGACCACCAGUGGCGAAGGCGUCUCACUAGAACGGAUCUGACGGCAAGGGACGAAAGCUAGGGGCACGAACCGGAUUAGAUACCCGGGUAGUCCUAGCCGUAAACGAUACUCGCUAGGUGUCGGCCACGGUGCGACCGUGGUCGGUGCCGUAGGGAAGCCGUGAAGCGAGCCACCUGGGAAGUACGGCCGCAAGGCUGAAACUUAAAGGAAUUGGCGGGGGAGCACUACAACGGGUGGAGCUUGCGGUUUAAUUGGAUUCAACGCCGGA
rnacentral:rRNA from 1 species